AGUCGAGCGAGCUUGCCUAGAUGAUUUUAGUGCUUGCACUAAAUGGAACUAGAUACAAGCGAGCGGCGGACGGGUGAGUAACACGUGGGUAACCUGCCCAAGAGACUGGGAUAACACCUGGAAACAGAUGCUAAUACCGGAUAACAACACUAGACGCAUGUCUAGAGUUUGAAAGAUGGUUCUGCUAUCACUCUUGGAUGGACCUGCGGUGCAUUAGCUAGUUGGUAAGGUAACGGCUUACCAAGGCAAUGAUGCGUAGCCGAGUUGAGAGACUGAUCGGCCACAUUGGGACUGAGACACGGCCCAAACUCCUACGGGAGGCAGCAGUAGGGAAUCUUCCACAAUGGACGAAAGUCUGAUGGAGCAACGCCGCGUGAGUGAAGAAGGGUUUCGGCUCGUAAAGCUCUGUUGGUAGUGAAGAAAGAUAGAGGUAGUAACUGGCCUUUAUUUGACGGUAAUUACUUAGAAAGUCACGGCUAACUACGUGCCAGCAGCCGCGGUAAUACGUAGGUGGCAAGCGUUGUCCGGAUUUAUUGGGCGUAAAGCGAGUGCAGGCGGUUCAAUAAGUCUGAUGUGAAAGCCUUCGGCUCAACCGGAGAAUUGCAUCAGAAACUGUUGAACUUGAGUGCAGAAGAGGAGAGUGGAACUCCAUGUGUAGCGGUGGAAUGCGUAGAUAUAUGGAAGAACACCAGUGGCGAAGGCGGCUCUCUGGUCU
rnacentral:rRNA from 1 species